rnacentral:tRNA from 1 species
GCGCCGCACGGGAGGAGACGGCUGCACCGGUUCCGGUUCCGGCUCGGGGGCGGUCUGCGGUUCGGGCUCGGGCUCGGGCUCCGGCGCGGCGCU